UACGUAGGGUGCAAGCGUUGUCCGGAAUUAUUGGGCGUAAAGAGCUCGUAGGCGGUCUGUCGCGUCGAUCGUGAAAACUUGGGGCUUAACCCUGAGCUUGCGGUCGAUACGGGCAUGACUGGAGUUCGGCAGGGGAGACUGGAAUUCCUGGUGUAGCGGUGAAAUGCGCAGAUAUCAGGAGGAACACCGGUGGCGAAGGCGGAUCUCUGGGCCUUACCUGACGCUCAGGUGCGAAAGCUAGGGGAGCGAACAGG
rnacentral:rRNA from 1 species